UACGGGGGGGGCAAGCGUUGUUCGGAAUUACUGGGCGUAAAGGGCUCGUAGGCGGCCAACUAAGUCAGACGUGAAAUCCCUCGGCUUAACCGGGGAACUGCAUCUGAUACUGGAUGGCUUGAGUUCGGGAGAGGGAUGCGGAAUUCCAGGUGUAGCGGUGAAAUGCGUAUAUCUGGAGGAACACCGGUGGCGAAGGCGGCAUCCUGGACCGACACUGACGCUGAGGAGCGAAAGCCUGGGGAGCAAACGGG
rnacentral:rRNA from 1 species